rnacentral:misc_RNA from 1 species
UGGUCUGAGCACAGGCGCCCAUCGCGCUGUCGCAUAAUCUCGCGUUGGUGGGCUGCUUAUGGGUGAUUGUUUAGUGUUUUGGGGUCUCUCGCUUCUUCCUUUUCUUUUCUCCACUACUCCUCGUGCGUCGUUGGGAGCGUCAUCCCGGGCGUGCCACUGAUAGCCCUACAAAACCGCGCCACCCUAUCCCUAAGAGCCAGGAAAGUACGCCGCCAGGCCACAGACGUCUCGUCUGUGGCGCUGCUACUUCUUGCUGUCUCAGCUUUAAGCUGAGCCUGUAUGCUCUUGAGCACAGAAGAAAGCGGGAAAGCACAGCGAGCCAGAGCCUGCCGUUCGCUUCGCCGAACUCUCCGUGUGCACGUGUGCGUGUGCGCCUGGGAGCUCUCAACGUCGUGCGAACAUCGUGCGUGCUUUUACUUUCUUUGUUUUUUUUUUUGCUUGGCGCCGGCGGUCCGGGCUUCCCAUCGCCUCCCUCCUCCCCUUCCCUCCUACCACGUGCCCGGCCCCUCCGCACCCGAACAUCUCUCAG